rnacentral:snoRNA from 1 species
CUUCAUUGAUGACUUCUCGUGACGUUGUGUCUGGGUCAUAGAAGCCCUGUAAUGGAAGGGUUAGAUUCCAUCUAACCGAAG